CCUCGAUGACCGCGGCGGCGGAUUUGGCAAGGGUGCUCGGAUUCGGCUCGUCCGGCUCCGGUGGCCUGCCUCAUCGUCGACUUGAAGGUGCUGCUGCUCGAGCGCGGCCCGUGGUCUGCUAGGUGGUGGAGGGGCGCUCGGGGGUGGCGGGGUUGGCGCUGGCGCCCAGAUCCACCUCGUCCUUCUCAGGUGCGUCGGGGGCUGGCCUGCUCCUUUCCUUCGGCGCUGUCUCGAUCCGGCCUGCCUCUGUGCGCCGCUGCAUCUUGCGGCAGCCCUCGGCUUCUCUGGCAAGCGGCUGUUCCAGCUCGGGGAGGCGCGACCCUGGCCGUUCCUGUGCUCGGUGGGGCAGACUAAUUUCUGCCCAGAUCCGGUGCACGGUGAUGUGGUCUCGCAAGAUCCGGGCAGCACGCGCCCUGUAGAUGCCGUCAUGGUUUGUUGGUUGCUCAUGUUCCGGAUGCAAAAUUCUGGGUCGACUUGGUCGACGCCGGCGGCAACGGCGGCUGUGGCUGUCGUUUUCCUCGCGGAGGUGCUACCGUGGAGCUGUUUCUCAGCCGCAAACCUCCUGUUUCGUUGUUUUCCGGGUGAAAACCUAUGGUCGCAACUGAGGUCCUCUGACACACACACGGGGCGCAUGAAGGCAGGCAGGCAGGCACAUGUUUUGGAGAGCUAACCUGAAUAUCUGAUGGUUCUGUAGUGAGUGCUGUAAUGUUUGCCUCAAGUUGUUACUCUGGGUUUGCAUGAGGUGUGCUUGCUGUUAGUGUGUGGCUUGUUCUAAUCGUGGAUGUACCAGUAUCUCUGGCGACCGGCGAGAGAUAAUUCUCUGGUAACUGAAAAAGACCUGAUGGGUGGAAACUUUAGCUCUGAAUGAAGGACUUGCUUUCGGUGGUGGGUUAUAAAACAUGAUCAAGCGGUGACCUGCUUCGGCUUGGGCGCGCAGUCAUCGCGGAAAUCUGGACAUGAACGAUCAGGCGCCAAUCUAGACAACAGCACAUCGCGGAAAACUGUAGUUUUUUUGUUUUUUUUGCGGGCAGCGGAAAACUGUAGUUGUAGCACCGACACAUGGCUCAAAGCUUCUCGUGCUAUAUAUAACUACUCCCUCCGUCCAGAUUUAUUAGGCCUCACAGCAUCACAAGCAUGUCCCGUUUUAUAAGACCUCGCUUUGAAAAGGUGCAUGCAUGCAACCACUUUAUUGGUUGCAUUGAAAGUCAUUAUUGUUGGUGUCAUGGUCAGAGAAUUAAUACACAUUGAUUGCAUGCAUGUGACAAAGUGCAUUGGGAGUGAAAUGAAAGAAUUAAUGUGAGCAAAUUACUAUGUGUCGUGGUCCAAGAGAAGUUGUCUUUAAGUCUAACUAGGACAAUGCCCGCGUGUUGCAACGGGAUAUAAAUAUACUAGUACGCUAGUUUGUGAUUUACUGAUUGUAUAAAUAAAUAUUUAUCAAAUCCUAUCCAUGAUUAUUUUAUAUUUUGAUGAGAAGUUUGAUAAAUAAAUUAAAAUAUAAUUGGUUUAUAAGGUAAGUAAAUUAAGGUGAGUGAUUAUCAUAUGUGGAAGAUUGGAUGAAGGAGUGAUGAAAAUAAAAGUAAAACAUGAACCCUACGUUCUUCUUUAAGUAAUAUAGUUAAUUGUCCGUGUGUUGCAACGGAUUUUGGUAGCCAUGUUUCCCUCCAUCUCUUUCUCUUCCUUGGAUCUUUUAUGUAAGCAUGCACAUGGACACACACAUAUUCUAGUAAUCAUGUUUUCUUCACGCUCCCUUUUUAUCGGAUCUUUCAUGUAAGCAUGCACGUGUAACACACGUAACACUUUUGUGUUGACGCCGGUCGUGGAUUACACGUAUUGUUGCUACCCAUCACCGGCUCAACAUUUUAAAAUCUUUGCAGGAAGAUCGUGCUCUUGUACACGCACAACAACUGCUACCUUGCCGAUUGCGCAUCAUUUCAGCUGAUGACAGUUGCUAUCUUGCCUAAUGUGCAUGUGGGAGUGCAUGACUGAUGACAGUAAAGAAGUGCUUUUGGAAAUAGUUCGAGCUUGCCUAUCAAUGAGAUUAAUUACUGGUGGUUUCCAUUUUCAAGAUAGGCAAGUAUCAGAAAGGAUCAAAACUUACCUAUCAAUUAUAUUUGUUACUUUUCUCAACAAAAAUAAAAGCGUAUGUGUUACUGAUGACCAUGGAAACAGUCCGAACUUCUGUGUAUUGUGUUGUCUUCACCAUGAAAAAAAA
rnacentral:lncRNA from 1 species